GCCAGUGUGUUAUAGUGGUUUCAGCGCUGGACUAGGACUCUGGAGACCAAGGUUCAAAUCCUGGCUUGGCCA